rnacentral:rRNA from 1 species
UACGUAGGGUGCGAGCGUUAAUCGGAAUUACUGGGCGUAAAGCGUGCGCAGGCGGUUUUGUAAGUCAGAUGUGAAAUCCCCGGGCUUAACCUGGGAACUGCGUUUGAAACUACAAGGCUAGAGUGUAGCAGAGGGGGGUGGAAUUCCACGUGUAGCGGUGAAAUGCGUAGAUAUCAGGAGGAAUACCAGUGGCGAAGGCGACCCCCUGGGCCAAUACUGACGCUGAGGUACGAAAGCGUGGGUAGCGAACAGG